UUAAAAUAUAAGGAGUAAAUUGUAAUUUACUUGUAAGUUUAAUAUGGGUGCAAUUGGCAGCUCAGUACCAUGUUUCCACUCUACCUCUUUGGAUUUGUGUUGUGAAAUGUAAGAUUAUUUUAAACUUUGGUAGGCUGGCAGUACCCAAUCACCUAUGAAACCUUCCCUCAAGAAAUUCAUCAAAGUUCACAUCUUUUGCUUUA
rnacentral:lncRNA from 1 species